GGUGGUCAGGUAGAGAAUACCAAGGCGCUUGAGAGAACUCGGGUGAAGGAACUAGGCAAAAUGGUGCCGUAACUUCGGGAGAAGGCACGCUGAUAUGUAGGUGAAGUCCCUCGCGGAUGGAGCUGAAAUCAGUCGAAGAUACCAGCUGGCUGCAACUGUUUAUUAAAAACACAGCACUGUGCAAACACGAAAGUGGACGUAUACGGUGUGACGCCUGCCCGGUGCCGGAAGGUUAAUUGAUGGGGUCAGCGCAAGCGAAGCUCUUGAUCGAAGCCCCGGUAAACGGCGGCCGUAACUAUAACGGUCCUAAGGUAGCGAAAUUCCUUGUCGGGUAAGUUCCGACCUGCACGAAUGGCGUAAUGAUGGCCAGGCUGUCUCCACCCGAGACUCAGUGAAAUUGAACUCGCUGUGAAGAUGCAGUGUACCCGCGGCAAGACGGAAAGACCCCGUGAACCUUUACUAUAGCUUGACACUGAACAUUGAGCCUUGAUGUGUAGGAUAGGUGGGAGGCUUUGAAGUGUGGACGCCAGUCUGCAUGGAGCCGACCUUGAAAUACCACCCUUUAAUGUUUGAUGUUCUAACGUGGACCCGUGAUCCGGGUUGCGGACAGUGUCUGGUGGGUAGUUUGACUGGGGCGGUCUCCUCCUAAAGAGUAACGGAGGAGCACGAAGGUUGGCUAAUCCUGGUCGGACAUCAGGAGGUUAGUGCAAUGGCAUAAGCCAGCUUGACUGCGAGCGUGACGGCGCGAGCAGGUGCGAAAGCAGGUCAUAGUGAUCCGGUGGUUCUGAAUGGAAGGGCCAUCGCUCAACGGAUAAAAGGUACUCCGGGGAUAACAGGCUGAUACCGCCCAAGAGUUCAUAUCGACGGCGGUGUUUGGCACCUCGAUGUCGGCUCAUCACAUCCUGGGGCUGAAGUAGGUCCCAAGGGUAUGGCUGUUCGCCAUUUAAAGUGGUACGCGAGCUGGGUUUAGAACGUCGUGAGACAGUUCGGUCCCUAUCUGCCGUGGGCGCUGGAGAACUGAGGGGGGCUGCUCCUAGUACGAGAGGACCGGAGUGGACGCAUCACUGGUGUUCGGGUUGUCAUGCCAAUGGCACUGCCCGGUAGCUAAAUGCGGAAGAGAUAAGUGCUGAAAGCAUCUAAGCACGAAACUUGCCCCGAGAUGAGUUCUCCCUGACCCUUUAAGGGUCCUGAAGGAACGUUGAAGACGACGACGUUGAUAGGCCGGGUGUGUAAGCGCAGCGAUGCGUUGAGCUAACCGGUACUAAUGAACCGUGAGGCUUAACCUU
rnacentral:rRNA from 1 species